CCAUUCACAGACUCCAGGAUGCGUUGCUGAAGGGUAGGGGCGCACAUGCCGUGCCGUGAGGAGCCACGUCACUGGGACACCAGGACUGAGUCCCAGAGCACCAGGGCACCCGUCUUCCCCCGGCUCGCUCUGGCCAGGCCUGCUCACCUGGAUCCUGCUCCGGGUCUCUACCAGCUCCUCCCCCCAGCCGUAAUAGUCAGGCAGAUCAGCCAGCUGGCCAGUCACGUCGGGCUCCUCCAGGGACCCCAGCUUCUUGGUCAGUUCAGCCAGCGUCUGCUCGUGGGCCUAGGCAGAGGGGGGAGGCCGUGACGUGCAUCUCCGGGUCCCCUUCCCCACUCACCCGGAUGCCCAGCCCUUCCCAGCCUGGCUUUCCCCGCCUUCCUGUGCAGCAGAACGCGCAGCGCGGCCCACCCUCCUCACCUUGCUGUCCUUGCGGAACGGGAACUCGGAGAAGCUCCUCUUCAUCAUGUCCUCCACCCUGAGUGCAUCCACCCGCAGCAGGUUGAGGAUCAUAGUGUAUGUGAGGCGGAACUGGGACUGCAGCUGGGAUGGCUUCCCCUGGAGAAGUGGAGCGAUCGGGAUGCGGUGGGGAGACCUGCCACUCCCAGCCAGCCCCAGGGGAGCUCAGUCUCCCCAGACCUGGCCCUAGCUCUGCAACCUGGGGCCUCAGAUGAAGCCGCUGCUCCGCUCCUGGGAAACACGAGGCACCAAAAUGGAAUGGGCAGACUCACGAAGGCCCCGUCUUGCUCCCGAUUCAGGGUGGCAAGAAGCUAGAGCAGAUGGGGUCACUUCUCUUCCCGGAACCUGCUAGCUCCUAACUUGGCUCUCCCCAGGCCAAAGAGGACACUUGGGAGAGCAGCGAGGGCCAAGGGCUGGCAGGGAGAGGACGGGUGCAGCCGCACCCAUGCUGCUCACCAUCAUCAUGCGGUGCAGGUCGGCCAUCUCGGGCACGCGGGCCUUGCAGAGCAGCACGACAGUGCCUGUGGGGUCCAGGCCCCUCCGGCCCGCGCGGCCGGCCAUCUGCACGUACUCCCCGGGGAGCAGGUCCCGGAAGGCGGAGCCAUCGUGCUUGCGCAUGGAGUCGAACACCACGGUGCGGGCUGGCAUGUUCACACCCAUGGCAAAGGUCUCAGUGGCAAACAGGACCUGGGGAGGGAAGUGAGUCGGCACCCCACGUCCGGCUUCGCUGGGGGCCAGCGCUGCAGCGGGGCCGCAGGUUCACCAACUCCCGGGGCCGAGCGAGCGAGCGAGCGAGCGUUUUCCUCACAUGUUGCCAAUUUCUUUCUUUCUGCCCCCAUAUCCCACUCCGCCCUGCGCUGCAGUGAUUCGGACACGUUCAGCAGGGCUUUUUGUGUGAACACGAUAUGUUACUCAGGAUGCGUCUUGUUCUGUGCACAGUGUCUGAACAUCCACCCAUGUUCCUGUGGUUCUAUCUAUCCAUUGCUGCUUCUGCUUCUUUUUGUUUUUUGGUUUUUUGAAACAGGCUGGCUUCGAACUCAUGUCAGUCCUCCUGCCUCGGCCUCCUGAGUGCUGGGAUCACAGGCAUGUGCCACCUUGGCCAACUCAGAACCCCACUCUUUUUGUUUUUGGUACCAAAGAUCGAACUCGGGUCCUUGUGCUUGCACAGCAGGUGGUGAAACCACUGAGCUAAAUCCGCCCAGAGCCCCCACUCUUAACCACUGCACUAUCCUCCCUAAACCCUGAGGGGGUGCCCAGCUGGCACCAGGAAGUCCCUCC
rnacentral:lncRNA from 1 species